rnacentral:lncRNA from 1 species
AAUAACUCCAUGUAAUGAAUAAAUGAGUUUUGAACUACGAGUGAUAGUUAGGGUUGUGCUAAAAUUGUGAAUUAAUGCCGACGGUUUGAAUAGUCAUUCAAUAUGCGAGUCGCCUGGUUAACUAGUGUCACAUAAGCAGAAGUACAUAUAAAUGUGUAUUGGAAACGUGUACGGUGAUCAUAUGGCAUUUUGGAUCAUGAUGGCCAAAUAUUUUUAAAAACAUCAAAAUUCGAAAUUUUCAGUUUAAAAAAAAACUGAAAACAUUUGUACAAGCAAACAAUGAGGUAAGUAUGUGUGUAAAAUUUCAUGAAGAAAUACGUUGAAAUGCGGCCUGUACAAAAAAAAACAAAUUCAUAGG